CGUAGGGUGCGAGCGUUAAUCGGAAUUACUGGGCGCAAAGCGUGCGCAGGCGGUUUUGUAAGACAGAUGUGAAAUCCCCGGGCUCAACCUGGGACCUGCAUUUGUGACUGCAAGGCUAGAGUACGGUAGAGGGGGAUGGAAUUCCGCGUGUAGCAGUGAAAUGCGUAGAUAUGCGGAGGAACACCGAUGGCGAAGGCAAUCCCCUGGACCUGUACUGACGCUCAUGCACGAAAGCGUGGGGGAGCAAACAGGAUUAGAUACCCUGGUAGUCCACGCCCUAAACGAUGUCAACUGGUUGUUGGGUCUUUACUGACUCAGUAACGAAGCUAACGCGUGAAGUUGACCGCCUGGGGAGUACGGCCGCAAGGUUG
rnacentral:rRNA from 1 species